UAUGUUUCCUGCGCGCUGCCGGGACUCACUGCAGGGAAAAUAGUCCUGUCCCUCGCAGAGGCUUUCCGAGACUAUCUGAGCCCUGAAGCCUGCCGGAGGCGGCCUUCUUCCUGCCACCCGACUGGUCUGGAGGGCAUGUGCCCAGGUUGAUUCGGCUAGGCGGGAGGUCGGCUCUCGGUGCGGGAUGACCAUGCGGAGGGAUACGCACGGUGCAGGGCUUGGAAUGAGUUUGAAUGAAGAGGCGGGUCCAGCCCGUCAGCCGUAGUUUUCCCCUCGGUCGGGUCGUCCUGGAUUCGGGAACCGUUGUGUGUGAGAUGAACAUUAUCUCAGAGGGAGGAGAUUUCCCUUAAGAAAGAAGGACGACUGCAUCGUCUAACAGCUUUACAGCGUCUGCAUGUUGUGGCUGUUGCUUUUACAAAAAAACAUAAACAUGUUCUUAAUGACAGAGUUGUGAUUACAAGAGAACAACAAGACUGAUCGUAUUUUUUUGGAAGCUCAGAAUACAGUAGUGACUAUGCGCAGACAGUCUAGACAAAUUAUAAAUACUGUUGCUGAUGUCAAAGAAAAUGUGAAAGGAAUUAUUGAGGAAGAUGGAGAUAUUUCUUCUAUGCCUGUUCCAAAAGACAAGAUUGUCAGAAUGGAUGAAUCAAAAAGCACAAAGGUUUCAGAAAUGGAAAAUUUAAAUGGCAGGAACCCCACAAAUGUGCAGAAACCCAGAGUGAAAUGCAACAAAUACGUAGGGAGAAAAUCAUAUCAGAAGAGUAAGGAUGAUAGUAAACUGGCAGUUUAUGAAAGCCUUUCUGUUAAACAGAAAGGCAACUUACUUGAACCUUCCUUGUCCUUUUUGACAUCAGACAAACUGCAAAGUCCUUUUUCAGAAGGCAGACCUACAUUUUUGGGUGAGGCAAGCUAUCUGACACCAAACAAAGGUGAAGCAGAUGUAAAACCUAAUUGUGGAACGUCGGAGAAAUUAAUGAGGAAACCUAUUGAUUUUGCUCAUGUAACAAUAGCUGAAUUUGGGAUUACUCCAGAGUCUUUUACUGCUAAGCCAUCUGUAGGGAAAUCCCUGGCUUUAAAACUUAGGCGCAGAUCUACGAUUGGAGUACGGGGUUCCCCUGAAAAUAAUAGCCUUAUUCGAUACCUUGCCCAACAAAGGAGGAACAGAACCAAAGACCCUUUCACAAAGGCCAGCCCUUUUAAACAUCAAAAUGUUGGCUCGUUAAAGGAUAGAAUAUCUGCCUUCCAGUCAUCUUUUCAAUCCGCGCAAGAGGACGAAGACAGGGCUUGCUUUCCUGGGCUCUCGCAGGAGGAGUGUGUGUCCCGGGCAGCAGGCUAUUCUGUCAACGAACCACCUUUUACAAAACAGCAUGAACAGUCUCAGAUGAGUGAAGAGUUAACAUCUGAAUGCAAGAGUGUUGCUUAUGGGGAAAACUUGAAAGAAAAAUUAACUAAUGGUGAUAAAACUGCAGCCAGUAUCCAGGUAUGCAAGGUUGUCUCUCCACCAGAGGAGGUGCCCAUCAUUGAAACUACUACUGCUAUAAUUUCAGAGGAAAUUCCCUGUACGCCACCACUUAGUGAAUCUGGAAGCUUAUCUUUAGAGAUUAUUCCACUAACGGGCAUCCCAAAGACACCACGCAACUUUACUUCUGAGUGUAUCAGUGAAGACGUUGGAAGUAAUACUAGAUCAGAGCUAAGCAGAAAGAAAGUUACCUUUGCAGAAGAACUGAGCUUGGAGAUAUUUGAUGAAACCAUGCCACCUGUUAUGACACCGCAAAAGGGAAACCCUCCAUCCAGUGAACAAUCCUAUAACGGCUCUUCCUGCCUUCGAUCUGUUCUGAAGAAAACACCAGUAAAACUACUGAUGGAAAGCGUGAAGGAACACACAAGCAAUACUACUGGCAUGGAAGGAAACGAACCUCUCUUAUUCUCUGAUCUCUCAAGAAGUUUUGAAGAACUGCAAACAGAUACAAGCAAUACUAAAACAAUAGACAAAACAGAUGUGUACAGCUCUGAAAAGCCAAUGAAGAGAAAGAAAGUUACUUUUGGAGAGGAUCUAAGCCCAGAAGUAUUUGAUAAAACCUUGCCUGCAAAUACACCAUUGCGUAAAGGAGCGACCCCAAUCAGUAACCCAGGAUCUCAAAGCGAUAGCCCUUCCACAGUAAUAAGUCCUGUGAGAGAAUCUUUAUCCCAGCCAAACUUUGAUGACUGUGAUGGUGAUGAUGAAUAUGUUAAGCCUCUUCAAGAGUCUGUAGCGGUCCCGGAGAAUAUGAAAGAAAUUAAUUCCUUUGAUAACAAAACGUCUUGUCCCAGAAUAACCCGGUCCUCUGCUAAAAGAAAGCAUACCAACAUUUCAGAAGAGACUGGUGUUAGCAUCUUGACCAAAAAUGCUCAAGAUAUUAAGAAGCUAAGAAAGAGCAAGGUUCAAAGAGGAAAGGAAAACAAAUCUGCCCCCAAAAGGACACCAAAGGUAAAACUUAGAGGUUAUGGAGGAAAAAGAGGAAAGAAAAAGGUAGAAAAAUCCUUGUAUGGUCAGAGAGAAGUAGCUUCCAAGAAACCUCUUUUGAGCCCAAUUCCUGAGAUCCCAGAGGUCUUCUCUUCUGCACCAUCUUCUCCGAACUCACCUCGGACCCACGUUUUGCUCUUCUCAGAUUAUUCCAAAUCCACCAAUGCCCACAGAGGAUCUAUGAAUGAAGUCGUUGAACAGAAAAAAGUGGUUGGAAGAAACCAAAGGAAAGUGCCUAUAACUAACAAACGUCCAAACACUAGAGACCUUGACAUUGUAGAAGCCAGCAGCACCGGUGGCAUCGAGUGUCAGUCAUCAGACAGUGGCCCUGAUCCUGCUUCAACCAUUAAUAUUGAGGUGCUUAAUAUACAAGAAAACAGUCAGACAGAAAAUGAGCUGGAAUCACCCUUAAUGUCGCUAGAACAGAAAGAGAGUGAUGUUUGUGUGAAUAAUCAGACCAAUGAAGAAGACAGCAAUGAUAAGACCACCUGUGAGCAGUCUGAGUCCAGUCUUAUGACAGAACACACUUCACCUGUCAUUGUAAAAUCAAAUUCUCUUUUGCCACGACUAAACACAGUUAUGCAAGAAAUUAAGAGCACGUCCCCAUUUGAUACAUCUGACAAUAAAGAACGUGAAAAAGAGAGAGCUGUCUUAAUAGAAAAUGAACGUUUGCCGGAAAGUGAUCAUCCUUCAGAUAACUCCGAGAUGCUAAAGGAGCUAGAGUUCUUCAACCUGCAGGACAUCGGUGUAAGUGAAAAUACUCAAACUGGAUGUUCUAUUACAGACUUUGCAAGAAAACGAACAGCUGACAGUGACGCCAAUGUUGAAGGGUUCAAAAGGCCUUCAAGAAAAGGCAGGAGAAGCACUAUCUACUUUUCUGAACUUGAGAAUCUCCAUUUUGAAGCACUUGGAAACAAACUCUCUGGUUCCUUUACUAAUGAGCAAGAAUCCCGAAUAGAAAAUGACUCAGAAAUGUUGAGUGAUCUACAUUACUCUAUAGAGCAGUCCUUCUUGAAGGCGAGUGAGAAUCAUGAAAAAAAGGUAAGACGCAGUAUGAGGCUGCAUAAAAAUGCAGAAAAUGAGGGACUUGCGUGGAUUAAAAUACCUAUUGAGAUUGACAAGAACUCUUUGUCAGAUUCUGCUCGCAAAUCGAGGCGGACGAUGUAUGCAUCCAUCUUUAAAGAAUCUGAGAACAUUGAUCAAAGACCAGAAAAUUGGAUCCAAAUUUCAGCUUUGAGGAAAGAUAACAAUGAGCAUGUUCCUGUUGCGGGAGGCUCUUGCAAAACACGGAGGAGGAGCAUGUGUGCAUCCGCUUCCCAGGAAACCAAAAAUAUAACUCAAACAGGGAAAAAGAGAAGGGCAAGCCAUGUGUGCAAUGAUAAAAACUACCAAAAGGAGUCUGAAAUGCAAGUAUCGUUUGAGAACCAUCCUAAUGCCUAGGCAAAAUGGGCCAUCUCUUUUUAAAAAGAAAAAGAUUUCAAAAACAAGCUAACAAAUAGAGAUCCUGUACAACUAACAUAACCAUGAAGAAAGCUCCUGCUGGGGUGCAGACUCUUCCCAGGUUCUGCAGAGACUUUGCUUUACCAUCUUGACACCAACAGAGACCAACAGCCAGUCUUUCAGAAAACAAGAACUACUCAGGCAACUUUGCAAGAAACUUCAUCAAAAGAUAUCAUUUGUGUUGUACUGUAGAUUUCAGUGACAGUUCUUCAUCCGGACCCAUCCACUUUCUUUUACUGUUUCAUCGUCCCUUUUUUUUUCAAGUCUUCAUUAACUAAAUCUUUGCGCGUUUAUCUGCUUUUGCUGUCUUCCAAAUUUUUCUGACGUGAACUGGUUUCUGGAAGAUAGUAGAAUAUGCUGUCUCUAAUGUUAGCAAAAUUAAAUCUACCACAGUGAAAAUUUUAGACUUUGGUGUAGAAGAUAUGAGCAUAUUCAGUUAAAUUUUGUGUGGCAUAGCAAUAUCUUUGUUUUACCAGCAGAGGGCAGUGUGGCAUGAAUUUUGCACUAGGGUAGAUGUAGGCAAACCGGACUUCUUUGUGAAAACUGUCAUGGAUUUAAAAAAUCUUUAAACAGUUCCCAGACCACAAUACUGAAAUAUCAAAAUCACUUGUGUUGGUUCAAAACAAACUGGUAAUAGCAGCUAACUCUGGUACUCUUAUUUUAUACUUAAUUAAUUCUCUUGCCUAUUUCAUACCUUCUGGGAUGGGGUUGGGAGAAAUGGUUUAAAGGUUAAAAUAAAACUAAAUUCAUCUUAUGAUUGAUGGCAUAUACUGUAAUCAAUAUGAGAUAGUAAGCUCUGUGAAGAGCCCACACAUCACCUUGUCUUGCAAGACUGGGUGUUUCUAUUGGUCUUGACUAAAAUUUUACUUUUUCCUGGAAUAUAUUUUUCACUAGGUAUUUAAAACCAUUUGUUUUACAUGGUGUAUGUAUUCCACUGCAGAUCUCUUACAGGAAUAGGGUGAGCCUCUUGAGUCCAGUAUUAAAGAAUUUGUUCAGUUGCUGGGAACAUCCUAAUGACUGUAAAUAAGUCUGGAGACAGACUUUUCUUGUGUGACAGAUGUAUAUCCCUUUUUCUUAAAAAUAGGAUAUCUAAGUAUAAACAGAUUUUCUUUCCAGCAUAAUUACCGUAGUGACUGGGGGGGACGUGGUUAAAACAAAUGUGUAAAUAGGGCCACAGUAUUUUUUUUUAUCCAUAUCCUUGAGUCCUGUGUAAGAUCUAAAGUCAUUUGUUGCCCGCUGUGUGCAAAUCUUUUUUUUUAAACAGAGGUGAUAUGCAGUAUCACUUGUGUGUCCAUUGCUGAGUACCAUUUACUUUGAUUCAUCCACCCAGUUGCUAUAGCAUUUGUCUUCCAUAUAUGCAGUAUUAACUAAAAUUUUCAACUUCUGCCUAUUCAGAAAUAGUUAUGAGAGAAAAUAAUGAACCAGAACAUGAUUGAGGAAGACUGAGACUGUAAAUGCUAUUUGCAGGGGUUAACUGAGCCUAGAGGUUGGAACCUGAGAAGAGGUGAAAGAAAUUGUUGUUGGGAUGCAAGAAAGUGUUGGGAGACUCACUAGGGGUAAGAUGGGAAUAAGGAUAAUGAGACAGUACUGGUGUUGGAGGGUCAUUGGACUUCGGAGGGAAGCAGAUAUUCUGGGAUAUGAGGCUUUUCCCCCGUGGAGGGAGGGAGGAAGGGGGUGGGUGGGUGUGUGUGUGUGUGUGUGAGAGAGAGAGAGAGAGUGUGAAGCAUAAUAAAAAAGGACUUGAAACUUUCGCAUCUCAAAAAUGCAUGCAUAUAAAACACUGCUCCUUUCACAAGGGAAAGUGUGUACCUAGGAUCCUGGUGCCGUGUGAGAGCCACAGUGUGGUUACCAGGCUGCUGUGUAGGAACUAGAGCCAGGAAUCCGUCAACCUGCCUUCAUUUUUCACAAAGCUGAACAAUGAGAUGGGGCUAAAACAUAAUGUGAAAGGAGAUUUAUGUUUCACAUUCCUAAAAUGGUGUUCAUAAAGUUAAGUUUUAAAAAGAUGAUAUCAAAUUUGCAUCUCUAACUUAGAGGCAGCCUCCUAUAAUUGCUGCUUUUAUUGCACAAUGGCUUAAUAGGGUAUAGUAAGAUAACAUUUAGGUAGUAUGGUCGGGGAAAAGUAAACCAGGUUUUGGAGUCAGGAUAUUCUGGUUUGUAAUCCUGGCUUUGCCACUUAUUGUGGCCUUGUUGAGAGUAGGUUUUAAGUUGUCCUCUUAGGUCAAGUCAGCAAGGUCAGUCUAACAUCUACCCCUCUAUUCAAGACUACACAAUCAUGCUUUAGAAUGUACAAAACUGGCAGAGUUAAAGCCUAGCCCAGGGUUUAACUUGAUUAGUCAAGUAUGUUCCAAAGCCUGGUGCUUUAUCUUGACUGGAAUUGUAAAAGGUGUUCAUUAGACUGUGAUGGCACAGAGUUCCUGAGCGCAAUUUAAAACCUUGUCUUGACAAAGGCCGACUUUUUGCUUGUAAGCUCUUGGGGGCGGUGGUGGUCUUUUGUUCUGUGUUUUUUCUUGUACAGCAUCUGGUACGAUGGGAUGCUGGUGUAUGACUGAGGCCAGGUCUACACAAGAAAGUUAGCAUAAAUGUGUCAGUUAGGGCUGUGAAAGCUAUGGUGGCAACUUCCAUCCCCACAGCUUAUACCAGCACCAGAGUCCCUUUGCCAGUAUGUCUUACGUCCUUUGGAGAGAUGGUUUAACCAUCCCAGCAAAAGGAUUUCUUUGGCUGGUAUAAGCUAAGUCUAUAUACUGGCAAAGCCUUUGUAGUACAGACUAUUCCAGAGACUCCUAGGCACUACCACAGUAUAAAUAAUUGUGGUUUCUGGCCACCUGUCUGCUUCACUUUCCCUUUCUGUAUAAUGGGGAUAAUGCUUCCUGGCCUCACAGGGAUUUUGUGAAGCUUACUUAAUAGUCACGUGAUGUUCUGUGUAAAUUCCUAGUAUGUAGACAUUAGAUCACUUCAACAACAGUAAUAGCUAGAGUUAAGUACGUAUUGCUGAAUAAUUACAUUUAUCAGAUUCCUGUGUAAUUGCUAUGUAGUGACUGAUUUACGGGAUAAAUGUUUCCUGGAAAUGUAAUCAUUAUCUUGACACUAUAUUGUAAUUACCAGGUCGUUAGUCAACUAAGGAAGGAAAGAGUAGUUACAUAAUACUUGUCUCCUAUAUUGUGAAGUAUUAGAUUAUAGUAAAAUGUUUGAGAACUACCUGUAGGGGAUGCAAUAAACAAUGGGAAUUUUGUUUUUGUUUUUCCUGAAUUUGUGUCGGACCAUCAGAAUGACAUGAAGAAAAACACCAAGCAUGAAUUCUUGCAAAUUCACGUUUUCUGAAGUUCAAAGAGAAGGGAUGGUAUCUUACUAUAAAUGUUCUGCUAAUGGCACAGUGAAUUAGACAGCUUAUCUUUCCAGAAACUAAAACAAAUCCUAGAAUAAAUGAUCUAAUUUACUCCUGAUAUACUAGAAGCAUGUUGUUUUCAUGGCAGUAAAACAGCUAUUCCUUUUAACCUGGCAAAAGUCAUUCUCAAUUUUUUUAAUAAAGAGAAAAUUAAGUGAAACGAAUAACUUUGCUCUAAUUUACUGAUAAAUGACCGUAACAAAUAUCUCCUGGUCUUUAACUGUAUUGUAAUUACAAGCUCAUUUUAGGAACAUUUUCUUUACAUGACUUUUAUUGUUGUGGUUCCUCUCCCC